rnacentral:rRNA from 1 species
AUGCACAUCACGGGCAGAACGGUGCUAGUGCGGUGCGUCCUCUCAGCCAUGCCCACAUUCGCCAUCACGGCUCUACGGUCACCGAAGCGGUUCUUCAAGGGCGUCGACAAGGAAAGAUGGCAAUUUCUAUGGGCGCAAGACGAAGAGGUUUCAGGAGGAAAAUGCAAGGUGCGCUGGUCGGCGAUCACCUCGCCGGAGCGCAACGGUGGGCUGAGCAUUCACGACCUUGACAAAUUCGCACGGGCACUGCGCUUGCGUUGGCUCUAGUUCUCAUGGACACGGUCGCACCGUCCUUGGGUCGGCUCAGGCACUCCAUGCGACGCCUCAGACCAAGCCCUAUUCACGGCCUGCACAGCGAUCACCAUCGGCAAUGGCGCUACGACCUCUUUCUGGCUCUCCCCCUGGCUAGGUGGAAGACUGCUCUGCCAGGCCUUCGCGGAGGUCUUCGCGCAUUCCAUCAGGAAGAACCGCUUGGUCCGUGAGGCGCUACACGAAGGUAGGUGGAUCCUGGACCUGCGCCACGGCGACCACGCGAGCAUCAUGCACUUGGUGCUGUAG